UACAGAGGUCUCAAGCGUUGUUCGGAUUCAUUGGGCGUAAAGGGUGUGUAGGUGGCGCGCUAAGUCGGGUGUGAAAUUUCGGAGCUUAACUCCGAAACUGCAUUCGAUACUGGCGUGCUUGAGGACUGGAGAGGAGACUGGAAUUCAUGGUGUAGCAGUGAAAAUGCGUAGAGAUCAUGAGGAAGACCAGUGGCGAAGGCGGGUCUCUGGACAGUUCCUGACACUGAGACACGAAGGCUAGGGGAGCAAACGGG
rnacentral:rRNA from 1 species